rnacentral:rRNA from 1 species
UAAUUUGCCGACUUCCCUUACCUACAUUAAUCUAUCGACCAGRGCUUCUUACCUCGGAGACCGGCUGCGGAUAUGGGUACGCACUGGCCCGAAAGUAGGCGUCGCGGACUUUGGGGAGUCCGCUUGACCUCAGUUACCGCCCUCGCAUGUUUCACGGGCCGGCGGUGGCGCUCGGGACGCCGCAAGAACCGCGGCGCUCUACGGCUAACCGUGUUACAAACACCCUUUCUCUCUGCGAAUGGCUUCCAGGGUCACGGCGCCUUAAACAGAAAAGAAAACUCUUUCCCGGACCACCGCCGACGGACGCGAGCUGGUUCCCGUUACCGGGCUCCUGCACAGAGCAGCAUUCCCCUGCCCGGGGGGCAAGGGCGCUUACAACUGUUAGGCAUCCGGGUCCUGGUUACGGAAUAAUGACCGUAU